GUCGGGAAGAGGAAGAAAAAGAGCAUCUAAGAGCAUUGGGCAUGGGAACAUGGAGGAAAGCCUCGACCAUCAUUUCCCUCUAAAAUUAGGGAUCACAAUAUGUUCCUGUGUUUUCCCAAUGCCUCCCAUGCCUACUGUUCUCAGGUGUUCCUCUCUCUUCCUUUUGGCU
rfam:Oryza meridionalis cultivar OR44 (W2112) chromosome 11, whole genome shotgun sequence.